UCUGGUUUAUUUUUCUUUUUGUCAAGGUUAGGGUGGCAAGUCUACACAUGUCCAUUCAUGGUAAAUAAAUAAAUAAAUAAAUAAAUCUUUCAAAAUAUACUUCUUAAUUAUUUUUACCAUGUGCCCAACCCCACCCUAUAUUUACCUUCCAAAUAAAAGUCAAAAAGUAGAAUUACUUUAUACCUUUUACUAUCCCUCCAUCUUCCCCCAUUCUCCAUCACCGUCACCAUAUCUCCACUGCCAACCUCACCACCAUGCCCCUCAAAUGCGUCCCCCGCCGUUACCCAUAUCUCCAUCGCCAUCGCAACCUAGCACCAUCUGACUCUAACGAAGCUCCAACACAAGACAAGUCAGUAGUGUCAGCCUCCUUUCCUCCCGGAGCUGCUCAACCACCUCAAACACACCACCAAUUCGACAGAUCCAGAGAUCACAUUACCAACUCUAGAUGAUGGACCCUCAAAUCUGAUGUUAUCGUAAACCACCGAGAAAUGAUCUACCCUGUUUCCAUCAUAUUUGAUGCCAGCUAUGCUGCAUUGCACUUCACCUCUAUGCACCAGAUCUCGUGAACCAGCAAGUCAAUCAGCAUCGGUGGGUUUCACACCAAGGUCCAAAUCCACCACCAUAAGCAAAAAAAAGGCAGCUUCUUCACCUCCACCAUCCCAAACAAAGCACCAACCUUCCUCACCUCCAGAAAAUGACACGGAGCAGCCUUCUGAUGCCUCUGACAAAGAUGAGGCAGCCCCAAGGUGAAAGAAUCAAUCUCAGCUCAAUAAAAAGAGGCACUCAAUUCCACCAACAGGAAUUCAAGGUACCCUGCAAUUCGAAGACGAAGCCCAUCAGACAAGAGGCUUAUAGAGAGCUGAUUGGGAAUCCCACUGCCACUUUUGACCCCAGCCGAGCUAAAGCUAAUUCAGGGAAGUUGCAGUCCUCUUUUCUUUCCUUUUUGUGCUUUAAUUCUUUUUCACAUUGGGGACAAUGCGGGAAUUAGGUGUGGGGGAGGUUUGGAUAUACAUAUACAUAUAUAUAUAUAUAUAUAUAUAUAUAUAUAUAUAUAUAUAUAUAUAAGAGAAAGAAUUAUUUUUCAUGGGAUUUGUUUAAAUAUUUAGACUCUAAUGUUGGAUUCUGAUAAGGGUUUUGGGAUUUUAUUUUUUUCCUACUCUUUUGGUACUACCUUUUUGAUGACUUUUAGUUCUUUUUGGAAGAGUUUAUCAUGAAUGCUUGUUUUUUUGCUUGUCUUUGACCAUAACUUUUGUCUAAUUAAAUCAUUAACUUCUAACUUGAAGUUACCCAAUUUUUCUUGUCUUGAAUUGAUGAGAUAUGCUAGAUCAUGCAAUAAAUUUGAUGUGAUCGGAUUUAUUCUCCAUUUUUCAUGGAAUGGAUGGUUGAUUUUGAUUGUACUUUUCAUCAUAAAGUAUGAGGCUUGAAUUAAUAAGUGAAAUGUGUUAAAUUUGCUUGAUUUAAAUUGAUGUCAUAUGCAUAAGGAAUAUUUGUUUAAACUCAUUUAGUCACUAAAUUGUUCAAUGUGUGAAUAUAUAUAAUGAGAAUUGAGGUUGCUACAUUAAAAAAAAAAAAAAAAAAGAGUUUUGUUUCGCUAUUUUGACUUAGUUGAGUAACCAGGGGUCUUCAUGCACCCCAUGUUAACACUCAGGCCAAAAAUUAAGUAGAAUAUGAGCAGUGCUAGUAGCCACCUAGGGUUGUGUUGAACUGGGUAACCGGGGGUAGCCACCAUAAACUGGUCUAUCUUUGUGUCAAAAGGUCUAUGACACUCUGAGCAAGUCUAAAAGUUUUGAAUAACUUAAAAGCACUUCAAUUUCGUAUCGCUGGGUAAAAUUGUGCGAAAUUUGUGACUUGACAGGUUAGCGGAUGAUUCUUUAUGCAUUGACUUAAGCUAUUUUGGAACUAAAUUGUGUGGAUAUUUUGAAAAUGCUUAAGCCUUGUGUUUUAUACUGAUAAGAACUCUUAAAAUCGAUUAUUUAUUAUAUAAGAAUUGAGAAUUACUAAUUAUGUUAUGUUUAUUGUGUCUUUUAGUGUUUUGCAUCAAGAAUGGAUGAGGAGACCUAAGUGACUGGAUGUUAGUUGUUAUUGAUUGAUAGAUUUGGGUUAUGCUUGAGGACAAGCAUUCGAUUAGUGUAGAGGAAUUUGAUAAUGUGCAUAAUUGGUAUAUAUUUUAUUGGGUUUGCUUGAUUUUUUGGGAAAAUAUUGAAAUUAAUAUGUUGAAAUUUAUUUGAUUUCGUGUUUCUUUGGCUAGGUGAUGAUGAAUGAUUGCAAAAGUGAGAUUUUGGAUGCUUUUCGUGAAUAUUUGAACUGUUGGCUAGAAUUUCGGAUGUUAAGGGCUAAUUUCCAGAAUUUGUCCAUUGAGCCAUGCCCACGGCUUAGGUUGUGCAGAUACAAAGCAGAGGCAGAGUCAAUUGCAUGACUGAAGAUUUUAUUUUAAUUGAGUUCAAGCCUAAUUUUGGGAGGAUUGUAUUUUAAAUAGGACUUUUGAUUGGGGAAAUUAGGAAGAAUAAGUUUUAUGCUUACUUUUUCUCUCUUUUCCAAAGUUAGUUAGAAUUCUCCCUUUAUUAGGACUUCUUAUAUUUUAUAUAAGGAAAAAAAUGCAGGUUUUAGGAGAGCGAAAAAUUACAGAAUUCCUUUUAUUUCUCUUUUGCUCAUUUUUAAACCAUGUGUGGCUAAUUCUUCUUUGAUCUAAUAAAGGUUAAUUAAAGUCAA